rnacentral:rRNA from 1 species
GUGGGGAAUCUUCCGCAAUGGACGAAAGUCUGACGGAGCAACGCCGCGUGAGUGAAGAAGGUUUUCGGAUCGUAAAGCUCUUUCGUUAGGGACGAACGUGCUCUUUGUGAAUAAUGAGGAGUAAUGACGGUACCUAAAUAAGAAGCCACGGCUAACUACGUGCCAGCAGCCGCGGUAAUACGUAGGUGGCAAGCGUUGUCCGGAAUUAUUGGGCGUAAAGCGCGCGCAGGCGGGAUAUCAAGUCUGUCUUAAAAGUGCGAGGCUCAACCUCGUGAGGGGACAGAAACUGGUAUUCUUGAGUGUCGGAGAGGAAAGUGGAAUUCCAGGUGUAGCGGUGAAAUGCGUAGAGAUUUGGAAGAACACCAGUGGCGAAGGCGACUUUCUGGACGAUGUCUGACGCUGAGGCGCGAAAGCUAGGGGAGCGAACGGGAUUAGAUACCCGUGUAGUCC